rnacentral:rRNA from 1 species
CCUACGGGUGGCAGCAGUGGGGAAUAUUGGACAAUGGGCGAAAGCCUGAUCCAGCCAUGCCGCGUGUGUGAAGAAGGCCUUCGGGUUGUAAAGCACUUUCAGUGGGGAAGAAAGCCUUGGGGCUAAUACCCUCGAGGAAGGACAUCACCCACAGAAGAAGCACCGGCUAACUCCGUGCCAGCAGCCGCGGUAAUACGGAGGGUGCGAGCGUUAAUCGGAAUUACUGGGCGUAAAGCGCGCGUAGGCGGUCUGAUAAGCCGGUUGUGAAAGCCCCGGGCUCAACCUGGGAACGGCAUCCGGAACUGUCAGGCUAGAGUGCAGGAGAGGAAGGUGGAAUUCCCGGUGUAGCGGUGAAAUGCGUAGAGAUCGGGAGGAAUACCAGUGGCGAAGGCGGCCUUCUGGACUGACACUGACGCUGAGGUGCGAAAGCGUGGGUAGCAAACAGGAUUAGAUACCCCAGUAGUC